UUGAAAAAGGUAAAACUGUCGAAAGGCAGUGACACAAAACUACAGGGCCUAAGGAUGUUCUACGGCAGCCAGUUGCCA
rnacentral:ncRNA from 1 species